rnacentral:rRNA from 1 species
UACGAAGGGGGCUAGCGUUGCUCGGAAUUACUGGGCGUAAAGCGCACGUAGGCGGCUUUCUAAGUCGGGGGUGAAAUCCUGGAGCUCAACUCCAGAACUGCCUUCGAUACUGGAGAGCUCGAGUCCGGGAGAGGUGAGUGGAACUGCGAGUGUAGAGGUGAAAUUCGUAGAUAUUCGCAAGAACACCAGUGGCGAAGGCGGCUCACUGGCCCGGGUACUGACGCUGAGGUGCGAAAGCGUGGGGAGCAAACAGG